rnacentral:rRNA from 1 species
GACGAACGCUGGCGGCGUGCCUAAUACAUGCAAGUUGAGCGCUGAAGGUUGGUACUUGUACCGACUGGAUGAGCAGCGAACGGGUGAGUAACGCGUGGGGAAUCUGCCUUUGAGCGGGGGACAACAUUUGGAAACGAAUGCUAAUACCGCAUAAAAACUUUAAACACAAGUUUUAAGUUUGAAAGAUGCAAUUGCAUCACUCAAAGAUGAUCCCGCGUUGUAUUAGCUAGUUGGUGAGGUAAAGGCCCACCAAGGCGAUGAUACAUAGCCGACCUGGGAGGGUGAUCGGCCACAUUGGGACUGAGACACGGCCCAAACUCCUACGGGAGGCAGCAGUAGGGAAUCUUCGGCAAUGGACGAAAGUCUGACCGAGCAACGCCGCGUGAGUGAAGAAGGUUGUCGGAUCGUAAAACUCUGUUGGUAGAGAAGAACGUUGGUGAGAGUGGAAAGCUCAUCAAGUGACGGUAACUACCCAGAAAGGGACGGCUAACUACGUG